CAGUCGCCGCGGUAAUACGUAGGUGGCAAGCGUUGUCCGGAAUUAUUGGGCGUAAAGGGCUCGCAGGCGGUUUCUUAAGUCUGAUGUGAAGGCCCCCGGCUCAACCGGGGAGGGUCAUUGGAAACUGGGAAACUUGAGUGCAGAAGAGGAGAGUGGAAUUCCACGUGUAGCGGUGAAAUGCGUAGAGAUGUGGAGGAACACCAGUGGCGAAGGCGACUCUCUGGUCUGUAACUGACGCUGAGGAGCGAAAGCGUGGGGAGCGAACAGGAUUAGAGACCCGCGUAGUCCCUGUCUCUUAUAC
rnacentral:rRNA from 1 species